UACGUAGGGUGCAAGCGUUGUCCGGAAUUAUUGGGCGUAAAGAGCUCGUAGGCGGUCUGUCGCGUCUGCUGUGAAAACUCGGGGCUUAACCCCGGGCCUGCAGUGGGUACGGGCAGGCUAGAGUGCGGUAGGGGAGACUGGAAUUCCUGGUGUAGCGGUGAAAUGCGCAGAUAUCAGGAGGAACACCGGUGGCGAAGGCGGUUCUCUGGGCAUUACCUGACGCUGAGGAGCGAAAGUGUGGGGAGCGAACAGG
rnacentral:rRNA from 1 species